GUGUAGCGGUCGAUAGAGCUUUCGACCCAGGUUAAUUCGGUUUACUUUCUUACCCUUCUUAGUUUGGUUAAUGAAUAGUUUAGUUGGGUUAUGUGGUUCAGUGUUUAUUUACAUUUGAAAAUGCGGAUUUCUGGAUUUUGUAAAAUAAAAGGUUUUCUACCCCUCGUGGUAGCGUUUUUAACGAAUAAAGGUUUCCUUGUAGGAAACAGUUUUCAAAAGGAUUUUUCGUGGAUUUCUGUUUAAACAUUGAAUGUAAAACUGUGAUGUGAAUAGUGAAUGUAUGAAUGUAUAGUUAUCUUUAUAUUCAUCUAGUGGUGGUUGUAUCCUGGUUGUACUCUUGUACUUGUGCGACGCCGUGCAAAUACAGGGGAGACUCUAUCCGUGUGAACAGUGGAUCUCCUGUAUUUGUGGCGGAUCUGGCAUACUCUGGGGUCAAGUUUUCAAAAAAAAAAAAAAAAAAAAAAAUUUCAGACGCUUUUCCGCUAUCUUUUAAACUGAAAGGGACCCCGGGGCGUGACACAUUCCGAUUCGAUUCCGUUGUUAAUAUUUAGCGAUCUAAACAU
rnacentral:lncRNA from 1 species